rnacentral:rRNA from 1 species
GGAUGUGAAUAUAUCUGUACUAAGGCACCGGAUCUUAUCAGGACUUCAAAUUUAAGCAUGAUUGGACGAGUCUACUAGUAGGAUUGUGAACUCCGGGUACCCGUGUUGCAUCCC